CAAUUCCUCAGGAGCCUUCUGGAAGAUAAAAGGGAAAACAUGCACCCCCUAGGUCCUGUGGGAAAGUCUAGGAACCUGUCCAGAAGGAAACACUGGGAUGCUUUAGAAGCCAUGGGGCAAUAGGGGAGAGUCACCUUAACCAGGUUGUAGCACCUAUUUGUGUGGGAGGUUUGGAUUUCAUUCCUCAGCCAUAUUUACCUUCUUUCUGUGUUCUAGGGCUCUGUGUCCUGCUAAUACCAUUGGGAGCUAUUGCCCACAAGAAUGGAGCUCCCUGUGCUCGGUGCCCACGGAAUGCCCACUGUACCAAUGCCAGCUCCUGCCGCUGUGAUCCUGGAUUCACUUCACUCUCUGGAAAGGUCAUCUUUAGCACCUCCUCGGAGGUCUGUACAGGUA
rnacentral:lncRNA from 1 species